AAUAAUAAUAAUGCCAGUAAAGGCCACGGCAAUUUCAAGGCAAAAUAUGUACAGUAUGAUUCAAAAUGAAUAUCAAGCAAUAAUCAAGCAACAUUGUGAAUAUUUUUAAAUAACAGAGAAAAUACACGCCACAUAUUUAACUAAACUUAACUAAAAUUCGCCAAAUUUCUCCUCCGAUGUCUCUCUAUCCCUCGCACACGUCCUCUGCCUCGCUGUGUUCGCUCUCGCUGUCAUCGCUCCCCGGGUGCUCCGCUUCCAGCGGCUCCUCCCAAAGUGCGUUUUCUCUGACGUAUUCAAAAACUUUUGAAUACGUCAAAAGUAUUCAAAAGUUUGAAUACUUUUGAAUACUUGAUUGACCUGACCCACUUUUGAGCCACUUGUCUCUAAAUGCCAGUCUUUAAACACCGGUAACGGUCUGGUUGUUAAGGAUGCUGGACUACUUCUUCCCGGAACCAAUUCCUGGCGCCACCUGCGGCCGCGAACGUGUAUUGACACUUAAAUGGAGAGGCGACGAAGAGAAACUGCGCUCUGAAUACUUGACCCCGAAUAUAAGACAACCCGACUUUUUCGGAACUAUUUCGAGGGGAAAAAUGGCCGUCUUAUAUUCGGACCAAUACGGUACUUAAUUUUCUAGCAUCUGCAUUAGCUAGCUAUAGCUGCUGUAUACGGGGAACGGGUUAGCCUAGCGAUUUUUAGUACUUGCACUUGGUCCUAUGAACAUCAACACCGGCAAAUUCAGAUUUGACUGGCGCUGGAAGCUGUAGGUGGAGGGAAGACCAGGAAUGGUGCAGCUGCUGAAGGGGACUGAGGCGACGCAGUCGGAGGUCCCUGUGGUGGCGGUCAGCGGGAGGUGUCAAGACCAACCAGCUCCUCGUCCAGGAAAGGGGAAUUCUUCAGACCGUUCUUCA
ensembl:lncRNA